CAGCCGCCGCGGUAAUACAGAGGGUGCAAGCGUUAAUCGGAAUUACUGGGCGUAAAGCGCGCGUAGGUGGUUUGUUAAGUUGAAUGUGAAAUCCCCGGGCUCAACCUGGGAACUGCAUCCAAAACUGGCAAGCUAGAGUAGGGCAGAGGGUGGUGGAAUUUCCUGUGUAGCGGUGAAAUGCGUAGAUAUAGGAAGGAACACCAGUGGCGAAGGCGACCACCUGGGCUCAUACUGACACUGAGGUGCGAAAGCGUGGGGAGCAAACAGGAUUAGAGACCCCGGUAGUCCCUGUCUCUUAUAC
rnacentral:rRNA from 1 species